rnacentral:rRNA from 1 species
AGUCACUGACAUUAGAUACCCCCUGUAGUCCCAGCCGUAAACAAUGUGCGUUAGGUGUGUCGGUAACCACGCGUUACUGAUGCGCCGAAGAGAAAUCGUGAAACGCACCACCUGGGAAGUACGGUCGCAAGGCUGAAACUUAAAGGAAUUGGCGGGGAGCACCACAACAGGUGGAGCCUGCGGUUUAAUUGGAUUCAACGCCGGACAUCUCACCGGAUAAGACAGCUGAAUGAUUGUCAAUCUGAAGGUUUUACAUGACUAGCUG